GACGAACGCUGGCGGCGUGCUUAACACAUGCAAGUCGAACGGAAAGGCCCUGCUUUUGUGGGGUGCUCGAGUGGCGAACGGGUGCGUAACACGUGAGUAACCUGCCCUUGACUUUGGUAUAACUUCAGGAAACUGGGGCUAAUCCCGUAUAGGAGCUCCUGCUGCAUGGUGGGGGUUGGAACGUCUCGGCGGUUGCGGUUGGAUGGGCGGCUUAUCAACUUGUUGGUGGGGUAGUGGUUGACCAAGGCUUUGACGGGUCGGCGGCCUGUGAGGGUGACCGGGCACAAGGGGACUGAGAGAGGGCCCAGACUCGAACGGGAGGCAGCAGUGGGGAAUAUGGCACAAUGGGCGGAAGUCUGAGGCAGAAACGCCGCGGGCGGGAAGACGGCCUGCGGGGUGUAAACCGCUUUCGCCUGUGACGAAGCGUGAGUGACGGUAAUGGGUAAAGAAGCACCGGCUAACUACGUG
rnacentral:rRNA from 1 species